rnacentral:ncRNA from 2 species
GGAAGACACUAGGGGAGCCUUUUUUGGCUGAGACGGGAAUAUCCCGGACCCUUUGAACCUGAUCUAGUUCAUACUAGCGUAGGAAAGUGGAGUCCGUGCAUG